CCUACGGGAGGCUGCAGUGAGGAAUAUUGGUCAAUGGACGAGAGUCUGAACCAGCCAAGUAGCGUGAAGGAUGACUGCCCUAUGGGUUGUAAACCUCUUUUAUAAAGGAAGAAAACGAGGCACGUGUGCCGUUUUGCAUGUACCUUAUGAAUAAGGAUCGGCUAACUCCGUGCCAGCAGCCGCGGUAAUACGGAGGAUCCGAGCGUUAUCCGGAUUUAUUGGGUUUAAAGGGAGCGUAGAUGGGUUGUUAAGUCAGUUGUGAAAGUUUGCGGCUCAACCGUAAAAUUGCAAUUGAUACUGGCAGUCUUGAGUACAGUUGAGGUAGGCGGAAUUCGUGGUGUAGCGGUGAAAUGCUUAGAUAUCACGAAGAACCCCGAUUGCGAAGGCAGCUUACUAAACUGUGACUGACAUUGAUGCUCGAAAGUGUGGGUAUCAAACAGGAUUAGAUACCCCAGUAGUC
rnacentral:rRNA from 1 species